CCGGGCCCGGACGCUCCCGGUUCGGACGCUCCGGGCCUUCCGGGUCCGGGGUCUUCGGGUCUUCCGGGUCCGGGGUCUUCGGGUCUUCCGGGUCCGGG
rnacentral:tRNA from 1 species